AACGAACGCUGGCGGCAUGCCUAACACAUGCAAGUCGAACGAGACCUUCGGGUCUAGUGGCGCACGGGUGCGUAACGCGUGGGAACCUGCCCUUAGGUUCGGAAUAACUCCCCGAAAGGGGUGCUAAUACCGGAUAAUUUCUUCGGACCAAAGAUUUAUCGCCUUUGGAUGGGCCCGCGUUGGAUUAGCUAGUUGGUAGGGUAAAAGCCUACCAAGGCGACGAUCCAUAGCUGGUCUGAGAGGAUGAUCAGCCACACUGGGACUGAGACACGGCCCAGACUCCUACGGGAGGCAGCAGUGGGGAAUAGUGGACAAUGGGCGAAAGCCUGAGCCAGCAAUGCCGCGUGAGUGAUGAAGGCCUUAGGGUUGUAAAGCUCUUUUACCCGGGAUGAUAAUGACAGUACCGGGAGAAUAAGCUCCGGCUAACUCCGU
rnacentral:rRNA from 1 species